rnacentral:rRNA from 1 species
CCUACGGGAGGCAGCAGUGGGGAAUCUUGUGCAAUGGACGAAAGUCUGACACAGCCACGCCGCGUGCGGGAAGAAGGCCUUCGGGUUGUAAACCGCUUUCAGCAGGAACGAAAAUGACGGUACCUGCAGAAGAAGAUGCGGCCAACUACGUGCCAGCAGCCGCGGUAAUA